CCUACGGGGGGCAGCAGUAGGGAAUCUUUCACAAUGGGCGAAAGCCUGAUGGAGCAACGCCGCGUGCAGGAUGAAGGCCUUCGGGUUGUAAACUGCUUUUAUAAGCGAGAAAUAUGAUGGUAACUUAUGAAUAAGGAUCGGCUAACUAUGUGCCAGCAGCCGCGGUCAUACGUAGGAUCCGAGCAUUAUCCGGAGUGACUGGGUGUAAAGAGUUGCGUAGGUGGCAUAAUAAGUAGCUAGUGAAAUCUGGUGGCUCAACCAUUCAGACUAUUAGCUAAACUGUUAAGCUCGAGACCGUUAGGGGUAACUGGAAUUUCUAGUGUAGGAGUGAAAUCCGUAGAUAUUAGAAGGAACACCAAUAGCGUAGGCAGGUUGCUGGGACGGUUCUGACACUAAGGCACGAAAGCGUAGGGAGCAAACGGGAUUAGAUACCCCAGUAGUC
rnacentral:rRNA from 1 species